UACAUCACGGUGGCCACUCAAAGCUCCUGCCUGUUCCCAGCUGACCGGCGGGGGUAGGACGCAUUCCGCGUUCGUUGCUUGUGUGGUACACCAGCCAAUCCACUUCCCCAAAAAGGGCCUCUAUGGAUUUUCUUCUCUUGCUCUCUCUCUUCUCUAGGUUUCUGUAAAAAGGAUGGAAGAAAAUGCCGAAGGGUCUGAGUCUCUACUCAGAUAUUGGAAAGAAAAUGAGAGAUCUUCUGUAUAAGGAUUACCAGAGCGACCAGAAAUUCACCAUCACCACCUACCCUUCCACUUGCGUUCUUUUUACAACGAUUACAGUCAAUGAACCUGCGCCGGGGCUCAAGACAAUUUUUAGCUUCAUUGUUCCUGAUCAAAAGUCUGGCAAGAAGCCCUCUAUAUGAUUUCAUAUGCAUUCCACAAUGUUUCUGUCGAAGAUAUCAACAUUACAGGAGUGUGCAUGACUGCAUGGGUGUGGGUGACAUGUUGUUUCAAUUAUAUUCCAUUGUAUUAGAUUUGCUGUUUCGGAAGUAACAAUGAUUAAAAAAGUAAAAAAGAAAAGUUGGCCAUGGGGCAAGCCUAUUGCGAGUGACCGACUAGCCAUUUCCUCAGCCACUUCCUCCAACAAGUCUGUCACCAUCGUGAAUCCACAUGAAACAACACAAACAAGCGGAAUGGUCUCCAUUCGAGCAUGAUGUCCUCGCAAGAGCACCACUGAAUAUCAAGCAUAGGGAGCUACUAGCGUGCAAUAGUUAAGGUAUGCAUGCCUGAGCCAUUCUCCCGAUAUUGAUUUGUUUUGGAUUAUUGUACUCUUCCUCUCCUGCCACAAGCCCCACAAGAAGUUGGAGGGAAGCAUCUUUCACAGAAUACACCUCCCUCAGGCCCUAGCCGACAAGCCAGGCCGCUGGGCCCAUUGCCACCAAUACAUGUUUAAAAAUACGACUUUGAUAUGUAAUACUGGGUCAUGCAACACAAGCACCGUACAGAGGCCUAUGGCAUACAUGUUAUAGAUAUGGAUCAUUCCUCAGCCAACUUAAGUUUUGGAUCUGUCUCAUUUUUGGCUCCAUGUCCUAACAUUAUCUGGAAAAACGGAUGGUUGGGGUGGAUUUCUCACAAAGGUUACAGUGGGCUCCACCUAGCUUUCGGUAAGUUCCAGCUAAAGGCUUUGGCAGUCAAUGCAGUCUAGCUUGUUUUUGGCCUAGAAGAAAAAGAAAAAAGUAAAGUAAAAAACUCUCUUAUAUGCUGAGGUUUGCUAAUUCCGCAUGCCUGUGGAUUCAUGCAUAUUCACACGUGGACACAGGUGCAAAUAUGCAUCGCAUGUGUGAGAUUUACACCUUUGAUAAGAUUGGAAAUAAUGCUUAGAUUUACACAGGUGCAAAUAUCCAUGUCUCAUUGAAUCUUGACCGUUCACCGGAUGUGGAGUUUGCAGAUGUCAUCCAUUCUGCCGUAAGACAUUACGGUGCAUGACAGUUCCCAAUAGGUUAAGUUGCAAAUUAUUAUUAAGAGUUGGUUGGAUAUCUUUUAUUUUUU